GAAUUACUGGGCGUAAGCGCACGCAGGCGGUCUGUUAAGUCAGAUGUGAAAUCCCCGGGCUUAACCUGGGAACUGCAUUUGAAACUGGCAGGCUUGAGUCUCGUAGAGGGGGGUAGAAUUCCAGGUGUAGCGGUGAAAUGCGUAGAGAUCUGGAGGAAUACCGGUGGCGAAGGCGGCCCCCUGGACGAAGACUGACGCUCAGGUGCGAAAGCGUGGGGAGCAAACAGGAUUAGAUACCCUGGUAGUCCACCCCGUAAACGAUGUCCACUUGGAGGUUGUGCCCUUGACGCGUGGCUUCCGGAGCUAACGCGUUAAGUCGACCCCCUGGGGAGUACGGCCGCAAGGUUAAAACUCAAAUGAUUUGACGGGGGCC
rnacentral:rRNA from 1 species